AGUUUUUUGAACUGAAAUGAGGGCUAGUGUAGCAUGUUUGGACCGGUCACCCUCACACACAUAAAGACCACACAACCACUCGUUGAUGAGAUUCAGCACUUUCUUUUACUCGAUCUGUAACAAGGAGAAAUAAUCAGUGGAUCAACAGGCGACAGCUUCUCCCUCUCUGGCACACUAAACAUAUGAUGCUAAUUAGUUAGCGUCACAAUGUACACCGUUUAAGUUAAAUAACACCAUAAAAUAUACAUUUACAUUAUAAC